CGAGGGGGAGACGGGAGGCGCGCCGUUGGGCCAGAGCCUGGGCCGCGCGUGGGGUGUGCUGGCCAACGGGCCGAGGGAAGAAAAGGAGAAGGGGAGGAUGGGGUAGGCCUUCGGCCAAAAUAGAGAGAGGGAGGUUUUCCCUUUUUUGUUUGUUUUCUUUUUGUUCCUUUUUAUUUCAAAAUUUUUUCAAAGCAGUUUUAAAUCAAUUUAAAAUAAUAUUUUGACUUUAACCAAGUUCACACAUUACAAUGA
rnacentral:lncRNA from 1 species